GCAAACUUGGUCAUUUAGAGGAAGUAAAAGUCGUAACAAGGUUUCCGUAGGUGAACCUGCGGAAGGAUCAUUAAUGAAUUUAAACGAUGAGGUUGUCGCUGACCCUUGUGGUAUGUGCACGCCUUGUCAAUUCAUCCAUAUACCUCUGUGCACUCUUCAUAGGUUGGCUCAUAUGUGGUUGCUUUUUAGUAGCUCCGAGUCUCUCUAUGUAUUUUAUUACAAACAUUAUAAAGUCUAAGAAUGUCAUUAGCGUCUAACGCAUUUAAAUACAACUUUCAGCAACGGAUCUCUUGGCUCUCGCAUCGAUGAAGAACGCAGC
rnacentral:misc_RNA from 1 species